UACGUAGGGUGCAAGCGUUGUCCGGAAUUAUUGGGCGUAAAGAGCUCGUAGGCGGUCUGUCGCGUCUGGUGUGAAAAUCCAGGGCUUAACCCUGGACCUGCAUCGGGUACGGGCAGACUAGAGUGCGGUAGGGGAGAUCGGAAUUCCUGGUGUAGCGGUGAAAUGCGCAGAUAUCAGGAGGAACACCGGUGGCGAAGGCGGAUCUCUGGGCCGUAACUGUCGCUGAGGAGCGAAAGCAUGGGGAGCGAACAGG
rnacentral:rRNA from 1 species